CAGAGCCUGAACCUGCCGCCACCAGCCUGCUGAGCCUGUGCUUCCUGAGAACAGCAGGGGUCUGGGUGCCCCCCAUGUACCUCUGGGUCCUUGGUCCCAUCUACCUCCUCUUCAUCCACCACCAUGGCCGGGGCUACCUCCAGAUGUCCCCACUCUUCAAAGCCAAGAUGGUGCUUGGAUUCACCCUCAUAGUCCUGUGUACCUCCAGCGUGGCUGUCGCUCUUUGGAAAAUCCAACAGGGAACGC
rnacentral:lncRNA from 1 species